GCAGAGGAAAAGCGCUGAGGGGAAAAUGCCGCUUAAAAAGACAGACCACCACCCCCUGCUGUCCACCGGAGCUGAGGGAGCUGCGCCUGAGCGAGGUCCUUGUAACCUGUCUGAUAUUGAAAGCACAACAGGUGAUUUAAAAUUGCCAGGAAGAGAUGGGUCCCUUCAGUAAAUCAUGAAGUUGUAGCUGAGCUUCCACAGUGACUGGAGCUGAUCUGAACCAGGGCUACCUUACUCUCACUCUCUUCCUGUAAUCCACAAGAAGAAACUACUGAUGAGAGGUGGCCAGAUAACAGAAACUACACCAGAGUUUGAAUAAGGGAGCACUGUUCCUUGGAAACUGCUGGAAACAUUCAUCUGCCCUUCCUUUGGGCUGAAACUCAGCAGAAAGACUGGGAGCCCUUUUGGUGGAGUGGCAGGAGCUGCUGGUUAAAACUGAGAGCGGAGCCCAGCCACCAGUCCCUCAUCGUGACUUAGACGGAUAAUUAGUCAGGUAAAGCUGUUUCAGACAGAGCAGAUCUCACAGAAGACUGGAUUCACUGAGGAAGAUGUUCCUGCUACAGAAUGUUUAGACAUUUCACUGGAAAGCAGAAAUGCCUCUGACAAAAGGAUAGAUGCUGUGCCAUGUGUUAACCCAAUGCUACACACAAGGAAUUCUGCUGGAGAGCCCAGGAGGUGACACCCUAAUGUGUCUGCCAUUGUCCUGUUGCUUUGUCUUUACAAUAAGUUCUCUAAAGCCUCCAUGUGUCACCAGCCUAAUGAGAAUCCACAACCAGCACAGGGUGGAGGCACCCAGAAUUACACUCUUAAAAUGUGGCAUAUCCCUUUUGUUCAAUAUUUCAUUUAUUGGGCAAUAUAGCUGAGGUUUUGGCUUUCAGUCAAAAACAAAGAUUUUCCCAAAAAGAGAAAUUGGAUGAGGAAUUAAAGAAACUCCACUAAGUGACCAAAACACCUCCCAAGCACCAUUUUCCACGAUUCAUAUUUGGAAGAAUUAAAUGCGGUUUUAGUGCAAGGAAUAACUGUAUGCUAGCCCUAGGGUUAUGAACUGGAUAAGCUAUUAGGAAUUUUCCAUUUCUGACUGACUGUGAUCUCACAUCAGUGUAACUCUGCUCACUUCAGUGGAAUUACUUCAGAAUUGCUCUGAUGGGAAAGCAGAAUGAGGUCCUGUGAUUCUAUAACUAUUUCAACUAAGCUGUUUGCAUAUGCCUGAGAGAAGCAGCUCUUAAGAAAAUAUAGUGGAAUUUAGAGCCCGUUUUUCAUCAGUUCAGUUAAUCAGUUUACUUUGGUCUACUGAUCACUUCUGCUGCUUUGCAUGUGAUUGUCCUUAUAAGUGAGGUCAGUUUUAUAGGAUAGGAAAAUACCCUUUAUAAGUCCAGAUGGUAUCAUUAGAAGAAACAUACAAGUUGGGCACUUCUAAAGUUUUUUCUUUUCGUCUUUCUGAAGACAAAUUUAAACAGUAAUUAAGGAUUUAUUGUUCUAUGUUAUAGUUUAUAAGAAAUUACAGAUUGUUGUUAUAAGGCCCUAAGAUCUUGAUUUCUUUUGCUUCUGUCAAUAGGGAAUUACUGCUGACCUGUUGAGCAGGUCCUUGAAGGUUUGUAGAAACACUGCAAGAUCCUCAUUUACACCAUGGCAUAUGGUUCCCAUCCAACUAGAAUCACAGAAACACAGAAUACCCUGAACUGGACACAAGAAUCAUCGAGUCCAGCUCCAGGAGAAUAAGAACAGCAACACACCAGUGUUUUAUGAAGGAGCGCCUUGAGUUCCCUGUCCUGGAAUAGGAUCACAAAAUGCAGAGCUGUUCAACAGGGAAGUGGAUUUCAGUGCUUACUUGGCUACACUGGGAGUCUGAGGAGACUGAGCAGAAAGGGUGGGAAGGGCAGGAGAUCCUUCUCACCACCUCUUUCCUGUAUGGAAUAUUCAGUAUAUACAUAAUAGCAGGAUCUUAGCAAUAAAUUCACAAAGUGGCAGAAUAA